UGGGGAUAUUGCACAAUGGGCGCAAGCCUGAUGCAGCCAUGCCGCGUGUAUGAAGAAGGCCUUCGGGUUGUAAAGUACUUUCAGCGAGGAGGAAGGUGCUGUGGUUAAUAACCGCAGCAAUUGACGUUACUCGCAGAAGAAGCACCGGCUAACUCCGUG
rnacentral:rRNA from 1 species